UUAACGUCGUUUCUAUGACGGCUUUAAUCAAGGAGAGGAGGGAAUUGACACGAGGGAAUUACUUCUUUGUUUGGUGACGAUUUAAAUAAAAAUAAUAAAACAUAAUUUAAUAUUAAAAUGGAGGACGACGGAAAACAAAUGUCGCUUUACGGUAAAAGGAUUUUAACCCCACACGAAAAAAUGGGGUUGUGGAAAAAACAUAGUCUGGAGGACAAAUAACAUCAGCCGUAAGCAUCGUACGGUGGUUGGGGAAGGUUCACAAACCUGGCCUUCCGGCCUUCGAUACUGGAGCAGGCACGAGCUGGACGACUUCAUAGCGGACCGGAAGCACACCUUCCUUGGGGCUCGCAUCCGAUCCACUGUGGCUGACGUCAUACCCCCAUACGAGGGAUUUUCAACCGCGGAGAUGGCUAUGACGCCAAGAUGCACCGUGACGACCGGAAGAGCGUCAACAAGAUCGGUUACUCUUUUCAUGAUGAGGCGCGGCAGCGCACAGUUCCAUUGCUGUCGUCAUCUACAUACGGGCACCGCCUGGGCCAGCCUCUCGAUCCCUUUGCCCGCGGCCACGUGCGCGUUGAGAGGGCCGGCAAGGGGUUCUUACACACUAGGGGCACAGGGUUACCUCCCAUUGAGGACAUCUCGUUGAAAUGCAAACUUUAGAAGUGUUUUUAUUUCCUUAUUUUUCAUUUGCAUAAUCAUAGCUGUUACAAAAUGGUUUUGAUAUUGAAAUAUGAAUGUCAAUAAAGAUUUGCGAAAGAUGUCAAAUGGUAAUUGUUUAAUAUAUUCCCCUUUAAAUUAAAUAUUUGUGUUGCAUUUAACGUUUCUUCUCAAUGCCACGUUUCAAUAGUUUAGCUAGUUAAAUUAAGUCUUUGUUUAUUCAAACUGCUAAGUUUCAUUUAGUCUUCGUUGUUGGGUUAUGUAGUUAUGGAGUGGCCAUCAUUUCUAUAUCUGUGUAUGAAGCCGUUGUUAAAUACACUAAUACCUUGCA